CGGGGCGGGUCCGCUGCAGACUGGCGAACAGCACGGGCUGCUGCAGAUCUCAGUUCCGUUCCGGAGUGAAUUGGACCGAGUGAGACCACGAUGAGUCUUGUGCCGGGACUCUGCCUGUUGUUGGCCUGCUUCACCUGUGUCCGAUGCGAAAUCGUUCUCACUCAACUGGCUUCCACGACGAAGAAGCCGGGAGAAUCUGUGACACUCUCCUGUACAGUGAGCGGGUUCUCUCUGGACAGCCACUAUAUGUCCUGGGUCAAGCAAGCCUCCGGGAAAGGGCUGGAGUGGCUCGUAGCUUCACGAAAGCCGUCUGAUACCAUUUACUACGCGCCUGGUGUCAAAGGUCGAAUCUUCCCCUCAAAAUCAUCCUCUCAAAGCGUCAUUGAGAUUCGAAACCUGAAAACCGAAGAUACCGCCAUGUAUUAUUGUGCAAGAAACGCACAGUGUGCUGAUAUGGAUUACUGGGGACAAGGGACCAUGGUGACCGUUACUGCAGCGGAACCGUCUGCCCCCUCUCUCUACGGCCUCCUCUCUUGUGAGCAACCCAGUCCAGGCGACUCAGUAACCUUCGGCUGUUUGGCGAUGGACUACUCCCCGAACGGUAUCAGUGUUUCCUGGAAGAAAGAUAAAGAGCCGAUCACCACCGGACUUAAGACCUACCCGGCAGUGUUCAAAAAGAACGGAAUUUACUCACGGAUCAGCCAGCUAACCAUCAGCGAGGCAGAGGCGGGGAGCAACGCCAUAUACUGUGUGGUACAGCACAGCAACUCGGAGUACAAAGUUAAAAUGCCAGAUCCAGAGGUGUAUCAUCCAAACGUCAUCGUCACGGUGAAUUCCCUUGAGGAAAUCAGAAGGAGCAGAAAAGCGACCCUUGUAUGUUCGAUCAGCGACUUCCGACCAGCGCAUGUAACCGUGGCCUGGCUGAGGAAUGGACAGUCCCUGAAUUCCGGCGUCGUUACCUCCCCCGCUAUUGAGAUGAACGGGAACUUCUCGGCGACCAGCCAGGUGACAUUCUCAGCCAGAGAAUGGUUCAGUGAUUCGGUUUAUACCUGCCAGGUUACCCAUAAAGACGACACACAAAGCCGAAACAUUAGCUCCUCUGAAAAUACUCUCCCUUGCGAGGAAGUACAUAUUACUAUUCAUCCACCACCACUGGAACAGGUCUUACUGGAGCCGACAGUUACCUUAACCUGCGUCAUCUCUCAUGCACCUUAUGGGGUCAAAGUUACGUGGAGCCGAGAUAAUACGGAGUUGAAAUCAGAGAAUGCCGCCCCGAUGGAAGAGUCCCCCGACAGUGAGAUCAGCAAACUUAACAUCUCGACGCAAGCCUGGUUGAGUGGGGAUGAGUUCCAUUGCGUGGUGAGCCACGAGGAGAUGCCGACUCCAAAAAGAGAUUCCAUCCACAAGGAGAAAGAUCCACAUCCGCGGGAACCAUCCGUGUCUGUCCUCCUUCCGCCGGCAGAAGUCGUCUCCGCUCAGAGGACGGUGGCUCUCACCUGCUUCGUAAGAGGUUUCUCUCCUCGUCAGGUCUUCGUUAAGUGGACGGUUGAUGACAAACCAGUGGAUUCGCGCAGCUACAGGAACACCGAGGUGGUGGCGGAGAACGGCAACAGAUCCUUUUUCAUGUAUAGUCUGUUAUCCGUUGAGGCAGAACAGUGGGGAAGCGGCGCUUCUUUCUCCUGUGUAGUGGGGCACGAAACCCUCCCCAUGAAGACCAUCGCCAGAACGGUCAAUCGGUCCAGCGGUAAACCCAGUUUUGUCAACGUUUCCCUUGUAUUGAUGGACACUGUUAAUUCAUGUCAAUGAUAAUCUCUCGCUUGCAUUUAGUUCUCAAAUAAAUACGAAUAAAUAUUUUUCCAAUCUUGAA